UUGAGGUUAAUGUGGUCGUUCUCCGUCUUCACGCCUUCCUGCAACAAACACAGCCGUCAUCAGCAGCGACAAACCGGUUUCACUGAAGGGCCAUGCCAGACUGCAAUAACGGUUCUCAGGAACUGGGUGACGCCUGACGUCCCUGCUUUCACAAUUAGCUGACAGAGUUAGGAAGUGUUUCUGCAUUAGAAAGCUUGUAAUAUAAGCUGUGUGAAUACGGCAGGAAAAUACUUCCUCAAGCUGUUGAAAUGAUGAGGUGGAUUUGUGCGUUUAUACUUUUCUUUCAGUGUUGUAGUGUUUCUUUUUUCCCUUUCCUUCCUGAAAAUUCUGCUUUGUUUCUGCGUUUGGGUGGAGAUGGGAAUUAUGGGACGUUGUGAAUUUGGAAAUGGAUUUAUGCAGAUGAAAUUUGAUCUUGUUAUAAUGCAAAAUAAAAAAAGGCAAGUCCCAAAAAACAUUUCUUAUUCAUUUAAUUUGGAAAUGUAUGGUCCAUAAUCUUGUGCACAAAAACACUUCACAUAAUAAUGUAAUUAUGUAAUUAUGUAAUCCAAGAUCCCACAACUCUGCUCUUAAAGAAAAAGAAUGUUCUGGAACAAUACAGACAUUUAUUAACCAUGUAAAAAUGUGUUACAUGCAUGUUACAAAUGAACUUUUGAUAUAAAAAUAAAUGUUGUAAUAUAGACAUCGGUAAAAUGGUGUGUGUUUCAAACACAGUAUGAAAACAAAACAGCUGGUUAUAAAAGAAGCAACACAAACACUGAUCUGCUGUGGAGAUGCAGAACUUUUACAGUACUGCAUUUCAUGCAGAAUUAAUUCAUGUAGGAGUGUUUGCAUGUCAUGGUGGAUAACAUGUUUUGACAGGUUUGCCCUUACAUCUAGUUUCCAUUACAGGUUAACUGAGUAGAUUUUACUCAAGUGAUUUGCAUUAAAAUUAA